GAACGAUGAUCCCAGCUUGCUGGGGAUUAGUGGCGAACGGGUGAGUAACACGUGAGUAACCUGCCCUUAACUCUGGGAUAAGCCUGGGAAACUGGGUCUAAUACCGGAUAUGACUCCUCAUCGCAUGGUGGGGGGUGGAAAGCUUUAUUGUGGUUUUGGAUGGACUCGCGGCCUAUCAGCUUGUUGGUGAGGUAAUGGCUCACCAAGGCGACGACGGGUAGCCGGCCUGAGAGGGUGACCGGCCACACUGGGACUGAGACACAGCCCAGACUCCUACGGGAGGCAGCAGUGGGGAAUAUUGCACAAUGGGCGAAAGCCUGAUGCAGCGACGCCGCGUGAGGGAUGACGGCCUUCGGGUUGUAAACCUCUUUCAGUAGGGAAGAAGCGAAAGUGACGGUACCUGCAGAAGAAGCGCCGGCUAACUACGUGCCAGCAGCCGCGGUAAUACGUAGGGCGCAAGCGUUAUCCGGAAUUAUUGGGCGUAAAGAGCUCGUAGGCGGUUUGUCGCGUCUGCCGUGAAAGUCCGGGGCUCAACUCCGGAUCUGCGGUGGGUACGGGCAGACUAGAGUGAUGUAGGGGAGACUGGAAUUCCUGGUGUAGCGGUGAAAUGCGCAGAUAUCAGGAGGAACACCGAUGGCGAAGGCAGGUCUCUGGGCAUUAACUGACGCUGAGGAGCGAAAGCAUGGGAGCGAACAGGAUUAGAUACCCUGGUAGUCCAUGCCGUAAACGUUGGGCACUAGGUGUGGGGACAUUCCACGUUUUCCGCGCCGUAGCUAACGCAUUAAGUGCCCCGCCUGGGGAGUACGGCCGCAAGGCUAAAACUCAAAGGAAUUGACGGGGGCCCGCACAAGCGGCGGAGCAUGCGGAUUAAUUCGAUGCAACGCGAAGAACCUUACCAAGGCUUGACAUGAACCGGAAACACCUGGAAACAGGUGCCCCGCUUGCGGUCGGUUUACAGGUGGUGCAUGGUUGUCGUCAGCUCGUGUCGUGAGAUGUUGGGUUAAGUCCCGCAACGAGCGCAACCCUCGUUCUAUGUUGCCAGCGCGUUAUGGCGGGGACUCAUAGGAGACUGCCGGGGUCAACUCGGAGGAAGGUGGGGACGACGUCAAAUCAUCAUGCCCCUUAUGUCUUGGGCUUCACGCAUGCUACAAUGGCCGGUACAAAGGGUUGCGAUACUGUGAGGUGGAGCUAAUCCCAAAAAGCCGGUCUCAGUUCGGAUUGGGGUCUGCAACUCGACCCCAUGAAGUCGGAGU
rnacentral:rRNA from 1 species